UGCCGGAUAAGGCAUUUUACGCCGCAUCCUGUGCCUGAUGCGACGCUGGCGCGUCUUAUCAGGCC
rnacentral:ncRNA from 1 species